rnacentral:rRNA from 1 species
CACGUAGGCACCAAGCGUUGUCCGGAUUUAUUGGGCGUAAAGAGCUCGUAGGCGGUUCAGUAAGUCAGGUGUGAAAUCUUUGGGCUUAACCCAAAGCGUGCAUUUGAUACUGCUGUGACUUGAGUUCGGUAGGGGAGUGGGGAAUUCCCGGUGUAGCGGUGAAAUGCGCAGAUAUCGGGAGGAACACCGGUGGCGAAGGCGGUUCUCUGGGCCUUACCUGACGCUGAGGAGCGAAAGCGUGGGGAGCGAACAGG